rnacentral:rRNA from 1 species
AAACAUCGCCUCUUGCUAAACCAAAAAGUAUAAGAGGUCCCGCCUGCCCUGUGACUAUAUGUUUAACGGCCGCGGUAUUUUGACCGUGCGAAGGUAGCGCAAUCACUUGUCUCUUAAAUGGGGACCUGUAUGAAUGGCAUAACGAGGGCUUGACUGUCUCCUCUUUCAAGUCAAUGAAAUUGAUCUCCCCGUGCAGAAGCGGGGAUAAGCACAUAAGACGAGAAGACCCUAUGGAGCUUCAGACACUAAAGCAGACCAGCAUUAAUACCCUGAACAUAGGGCACGAAUAAACUGAUCCCUGCCCUAAUGUCUUUGGUUGGGGCGACCGCGGAGAAACACAAAACCCCCGCAAGGACCGAAUGUACUACAUUCACAACCAAGAGCGACAGCUCUAAUUAACAGAACUUCUGACCAAUAAGAUCCGGCAAUGCCGAUUAAUGAACCGAGUUACCCUAGGGAUAACAGCGCAAUCUCCUCUUAGAGCCCAUAUCGCCGAGGAGGUUUACGACCUCGAUGUUGGAUCAGGACAUCCUAAUGGUGCAGCCGCUAUUAAGGGUUCGUUUGUUCAACGAUUAAAGUCCUACGUGAUCUGA